AACCUAGCACACCUGCGGUGUGUACCUGCGGAGGGAUCAUUAACCUUUCAAAUCAGGGUGCGGCGCGGCCCCCGAGGAGCGGAAACAAUCCUUGGGAGGUAUGCGGGGGCUUCGAGCCCCCCAUUUACGCACGCACGACUGCCAUCCUUACUUUACGAGCACCUUCUGUUCUCCCUCGGCGGGGCAACCUGCCGUUGGAACCGAAUAAACUCUUUUUGCAUCUAGCAUUACCUGUUCCGA
rnacentral:misc_RNA from 1 species